GACAACUCUAAACCUUGGAACAUUUCCCCAUAUUCUCACCUGAAUCCUGGUCACUGAUGCAGAGAAAUUUACUCUUCAGACCCUACAGUGGUUUUUUUUUGUUGUUGUUGUUUGGUUUGGUUUGGUUUUGUUCUUUGUUUUUGACACAGGGUCUCAGGCUGUCCUCAAAUGGGACACACAAUGUGCUGUGUUCUACUUCUUCAAAGUGCUGUAACUUCCCUCGACUAUUUUAAAUUCUGUGCCAAACUUAAUUCCUAUCCACAAAUGGGGAGAAGCAGGGACUAUGCCCAAGCUGGUGGAAGGAAUAACUCCAGAAAGUAGUACUCCUGUUUCCUAGGACAGCGCUUUUUGCUAGAUAAUGGGUUGCUGCAAAACAAAUUCUUCUCCCUUGAGGAUUUAAGGGCACCCACACAGUUUACAUCCCUGAAAGUCUGUCAGAGGCUCCAAACAUUUCCACUCAGAAUACCCUUUGGUCAACUGCUAUCUCACACAUCCAUUACUGAAAAGGCUCACAUGGUCAUACCAAUGGUAGGAGUCACUCCAAACAACCAUGUCCGUUGUAGGGAGAAGGGGCACAGCUCCAGGGAGUUACUGCCCAGGGAGAAACUGUAAUGUUUCAAACUGGCAGCAUUCUGCUCCUUCCACACUCUCUUUCCCUCACGGGGAAAAGGAUGUGAGGAAACAAGCAGGAGUGAGGCAUGGCCACGACACUCCCAUCCACGCCCACCCAUCUGCUCCAUAGACCUCACCAGCAUCUUAAAGUGGGAAACCAACUAAACUGUAGCAACCUGACCUUGUCCAUCCCCUUCGCAGAAGUGCGCGCAUGCAUCCAAGUGACAGUUGGCUCUCCCCUGCGUUUUCCAAGCACGAUGGAAGAAAACCAGAGGGAUACAGUGUUGGUCCAAUUAAGGUUUUAUCUCCAUGCCUGGACAUUCAAAAAGGGGAGCAGAUGCCAGGCACCUAAAGGGCGGCCUCAGAUGCACCUCACCAUGGUCACUGAUCAAGACCUACUGCCAACUGGCUACAGGGUGAAACUGGCACUUAGCAGGUUCUAGGUUUGUUCUGGCUUUUGUUUUUGUGCUCACUGCUAUUCCCAGGCCCUUUUCUCCCCCAGCUGCUGAUCUGAGAAAUCCUAAUGGAAAAAGGAAGGCAUCCAAAAUCCCAGGUGGGCGACUUCAUAACCACAACCUCCAGCAAUCCAGGCGAUCAGUAUUUACACAGCUCUAGUGCUGUGGAUGGCCAGACUGCAAGGCACAGACAGCGUGUCAGCCUGAGGAAUGUUUGGGUACAGGAGGGACUCAAGAGUGCUCCCAACUCCUUCCUGAGCUAAGUGACUCAACCCACUCACUCUCAGGAGGGAGAAAAAGGAAAGGAAACUGACUCAAAUGAACCUGAAACUAAAGCAGUCCCCAGUUUCAACUGCGAGAUUCCCCUAAACCAUGACUGCAUCCUCUUUCAUGGGCUAUCUGCUCACAGAGCUGUGAGAUACUAUAGAAAUUCAAGCAUCUACUCAAGUCACCCUUUUCCCUGAAGUUCAAAGAAUCCUUAAGACAGCGACAAGUGCAUCGACAAAGGUGCCAGAUGACGUACAUUCUACAUUUGUAAGCAGUGACUGACAGUUGAAAGCAAACAAUAUUACGGGGUGCCUAAUGGAAACGUGGUGCUCUUGGACUGAAGACCACCACUGCACACAACACCCACUAAGAGCUGCUUUCACAUUGUCAUAUUUGAAUAUGAAGGAUAAAGGGCUUGCUUGUGUGUGACCCCCAAGGACUAGAUAAUGCUGAAUAAAUACAGCAGAAAGUCACAUUGACAUGUAAUCAUAAGUGUGUGAGGCUAAGUAAGACAGUCUGAUGUUACCUAUAAAUAUAUACAAGCACACCAAAGACUGAAGUAGGUAAGACACACUUCACUGAAGAUACAUUCCAUCUAAUGUCCACCAGAAAGGUAGAUAUAGAGAUACAACAAUUCACAUAAACAUUGAUUGAGUCAGUCCUUUUCUUUAAACAUAACUUUGCAACUACUGUGAUGGCAAUCCUGAAUAAAAGCCCAGAGAGGGAGACACUUUCUUUACAAGAAUUAAAUUCUUAAAAUGUGGAUCCAGACUUCAAUAUUAGUUAUUUAUGAAAAGUUUUGAAAUGUACGCCUUCUGAUCUUAAUUCAGUGGUUGGUCUGUGCUCUCUCCUCUCUUUUCCCCAUUCAGAUACAAUAGUUUCUUAGAUGUAUACAACUUGUCCCAUCUAAGCUGCUGGGUAAAGGGUGUGGCCACUGGGUAGAUUUAUAUCCUCUGUGAAAUAAGAUGGUCUCCUGUCACUUUAAUUUUUAUUUACUCUACACCAAAGGUUUUAAGUAUUCUGGAGCUGGAGGUUGAGAGGAAUUGUUUUCCUAGCCUGAAACAGCUCGUUAAUUAUUUAUGUAAGUCAUACUUACAAUGAGGCGUUUGUACACUUUUCUGCACAGUAUAAAUCUAGUUUUCCUCCUAAAAUCCCUUGUGGCCUUUAUUACAUAAGAAAACGAACUAGAUCUGGCGUGGUGGCACACACAUCUGUCUAUAAGCUCAGCACUCAGGAGGCUAAGGUAGCAAGUUUGAGGCCAGCUUGGGCACAGAGCAAGGCAGAGGUGGAAAGGGACCUCACAGUAGUAAUGCCAACCUGGUUAUCAUUCCUCGAGAAUGGAAAAAAAAAAUCAAACACACACACACAGAGGCUCGCGCGCGCGUGUGUGUGUGUGUGUGGUUUGUUUGUUUGUCUGUUGUUUUGUUUUUGUUUUCAAGAAACACCGUUUGUCUCUGGAAAGACGGGUCAAGUGUGCACCAGACUGCCUUGAGAAGUAAUUAAGCUUGGGCUGUUUCAUUUCACAGCGUCCCAUCU
ensembl:lincRNA Gm26603 predicted gene, 26603